CUCUAGGCGGGAGUCUACGGGCGGGGGGGACACACUAAUCCUCAGGCUCCUGCAAACAGUUCUGCCUUCCCCAUUCCUUCCUGCAGGCAAGGCACGCAUUUGCCUACUCAAGGUGCCAAGAAUUCAGGCAACAAAGAAAUCUGCCCAUUCAGCUGAACUGACCCUUUCUCCAACUUCGGUGACAUUCGGGUCCUUUGUGCGAGCCUGUGUGCGUGUGGCCAUUACCUCGACCGCGAAGCAAGCGUUGCACUUCCCUCCCUGCCUGGCCUCUCUCCUGCCACUUUCCUGUUUGGGGAUCCAUCCACCCCCGGCCUGGUCCUGCCUGCCUCUCCCAGGAGGCCCCGGCAUCUUCCUCUGUGACCCCUCUUGCUGGCCACAGCUUCGUCCUGCCUUCCUGCACCUCCUUGGACAUCCCCACCGAAGCAGAGGCCGGUCACCUCUUGUUCCUCUGGAGAAACUCCCAGCUCCAAGUCGAGAUCAGAGGAGUCUUGGAAAGGUGGAUUCCAAAUAAAGCUUAUUAGAGAGAAGGAAGCGGGCAAAGCGUCACUUGUUGAGUGAGACAGAGUUCAACAAUUGCUGAACAAAAGCCGUCUGUGCACCUGACACUGAAGUUUGAGAAGAGUGGGUGGAAUUUCCCAAAGAUGCGGGGACGCGGCGUCUCCCCCGGCUCCAUGGUGAGCAGGUGCUCCACGGAGAACGUGGCUUUUAGGUGACGGAACACAAGACCUCAGAACUGUGGUUUUCGAAGCCAGAGCUCCCGGCAGCCCAUCCUUAUCACAUGCCUGUA
rnacentral:lncRNA from 1 species